ACGAACGCUGGCGGCGUGCUUAACACAUGCAAGUCGAACGCUGAAGCUCAGCUUUUGUUGGGUGGAUGAGUGGCGAACGGGUGAGUAACACGUGAGUAACCUGCCCCCUUCUUUGGGGUAACGCCCGGAAACGGGUGCUAAUACUGGAUAUUCACUGGUCUUCGCAUGGGGGUUGGUGGAAAGGGUUUUUCUGGUGGGGGAUGGGCUCGCGGCCUAUCAGCUUGUUGGUGGGGUGAUGGCCUACCAAGGCUUUGACGGGUAGCCGGCCUGAGAGGGUGACCGGUCACAUUGGGACUGAGAUACGGCCCAGACUCCUACGGGAGGCAGCAGUGGGGAAUAUUGCACAAUGGGCGCAAGCCUGAUGCAGCGACGCCGCGUGAGGGAUGGAGGCCUUCGGGUUGUGAACCUCUUUCGCUCAUGGUCAAGCCGCAACAAUGGUUGUGGUGAGGGUAGUGGGUAAAGAAGCGCCGGCUAACUACGUG
rnacentral:rRNA from 1 species